rnacentral:lncRNA from 1 species
UCUUAGUUGCUUCAUAAUCAAGAAAAGAAGAAUAAGAAAAGAAAAAAAAAGAUCAAGAAAAAGAUCAAAGAGUUAAUCACAAUCUAGGCUUCGUUCAGAUUUGUAGGGUGAUCAUUCUUAGAGAAGAAAGAUCAACUUCAUAGAGGGCUUUUCCAGACUAAUCUUGAGUAGAUACCAUAGAGGUCAGGCACUUUUGCAGCUA